GCACCAAGGGGGGCAGUAUGAAGCAACGGAAGAACCUUCCAGGUCUUGACAUCUGACAAUCCUAGAGAUAGGACGUCCCCUUGGGGGCAGAGUGACAGGUGGUGCAUGGUUGUCGUCAGCUCGUGUCGUGAGAUGUUGGGUUAAGUCCCGCAACGAGCGCAACCCUUGAUCUUAGUUGCCAGCAUUCAGUUGGGCACUCUAAGGUGACUGCCGGUGACAAACCGGAGGAAGGUGGGGAUGACGUCAAAUCAUCAUGCCCCUUAUGACCUGGGCUACACACGUGCUACAAUGGACAGAACAAAGGGCAGCGAAACCGCGAGGUUAAGCCAAUCCCACAAAUCUGUUCUCAGUUCGGAUCGCAGUCUGCAACUCGACUGCGUGAAGCUGGAAUCGCUAGUAAUCGCGGAUCAGCAUGCCGCGGUGAAUACGUUCCCGGGCCUUGUACACACCGCCCGUCACACCACGAGAGUUUGUAACACCCGAAGUCGGUGAGGUAACCUUUAAGGAGCCAGCCGCCGAAGGUGGACAGAUGUUGGGGG
rnacentral:rRNA from 1 species